CCUACGGGGAGCAGCAGUGGGGAAUAUUGGACAAUGGGCGAAAGCCUGAUCCAGCCAUGCCGCGUGUGUGAAGAAGGCCUUCGGGUUGUAAAGCACUUUCAGUGGGGAAGAAAGCCUUGGGGCUAAUACCCUCGAGGAAGGACAUCACCCACAGAAGAAGCACCGGCUGAACUCCGUGCCAGCAGCCGCGGUAAUACGGAGGGUGCGAGCGUUAAUCGGAAUUACUGGGCGUAAAGCGCGCGUAGGCGGUCUGAUAAGCCGGUUGUGAAAGCCCCGGGCUCAACCUGGGAACGGCAUCCGGAACUGUCAGGCUAGAGUGCAGGAGAGGAAGGUAGAAUUCCCGGUGUAGCGGUGAAAUGCGUAGAGAUCGGGAGGAAUACCAGUGGCGAAGGCGGCCUUCUGGACUGACACUGACGCUGAGGUGCGAAAGCGUGGGUAGCAAACAGGAUUAGAUACCCCAGUAGUC
rnacentral:rRNA from 1 species